GAUGAACGCUGGCGGUAUGCUUAACACAUGCAAGUCGAACGGACUCUUCGGAGUUAGUGGCGGACGGGUGAGUAACGCGUGAGAAUCUGGCUUUGGGUUCGGGACAACCACUGGAAACGGUGGCUAAUACCGGAUGUGCCGAGAGGUAAAAGAGAAAUUGCCUGAAGAUGAGCUCGCGUCUGAUUAGCUAGUUGGUGAGGUAAAGGCUCACCAAGGCAGCGAUCAGUAGCUGGUCUGAGAGGAUGACCAGCCACACUGGGACUGAGACACGGCCCAGACUACUACGGGAGGAAGCAGUGGGGAAUUUUCCGCAAAUGGCGAAAGCCUGACGGAGCAAUACCGCGUGAGGGAAGAAGGCUCUUGGGUUGUAAACCUCUUUUCUUAGGGAAGAACAAAAUGACGGUACCUAAGGAAUCAGCAUCGGCUAACUCCGUG
rnacentral:rRNA from 1 species